CGGGCGCCGCCAGCAGGACGUUGCCCGCCUGCUGGCCUGGGAGGAGUCGGGGUGUCGGGCACCCACAGCUCACUUGAGCUCUGCGUGCGGUUAGCUGGUGAAGGAACGAAAGACAUAGUUCUUGUGAGCAUCUGUCCGGGGCCUGAGCUUGGGAGGCAAGUCUGUUGUAGAGAGCAUCCAGCAACUAUACCAACAAGGGCCUCCAUGUUUACCACUGAUGAUGGGCUCACCCACAGACAAUUAUUUGCACUUAUAACCAAGAUGUUCCAUGCCUGCAUUCAGAGGAAAGAGUAGGGAAUAAAUUCGAGGUUCACAGGCAUGCUGGCAAAGAGCAUCCUCCCAGCAGGAGGUCCUGCUUCCUUCACUGGAUACUCUGCUGGCAUCAUCAUCUCUCCUCAUGAAAGGAUGGACAUUGGUAUCUACGUCAGGGAAGUCUUUGUGCAGAAGGCUGAGGGGAGAAGAAUGUCCAAGGACAAACAUUUGCUGGUGAACCCAACUUCACAAACGUCCUUCAUUGGUCACACUUGCUUGGUACCCAGCUGAUGCGUCCAUGAGACUGUUCUCAGCCGAACACACCACAGCAUUGGGAAAGGGAAAGAAUUCUUUCCCUGAAUUCCUGUGUUAUGCUGGUGAAGGGAGAGAAGACUGCCAAAAAUUUCGUAACGUUUGAAGGCCCCUGUCCUGGUGCAGGUAUUUGUCUGCAUUCGGAUAGGUCGGUGGCUGCUUUCUCUCUUGCUCAACACUUCCUCCUGCAUUCCGUCCGCAUUCUUGUUUCCCAUCCAAAGGCCUCCACUCCUUUUCCAGCAAUUUCUGUUCUCUAGGCCCCCAUCUCCUCCUCCUCCCAUGAAUACGGACCCAGGUAUAUCUGAGACUUUCCUCGUUGACUUUGGCACAGCCCCCCAUUGCCUCUCCCAGAGUCUGGUUCAUAAAUUCAUUCUUCCAUCAGUCUAACUCAAUUCUAGAUGUCACCCUCCUGUUUCCCAACUCUCCUCAGGUUCCUCACUAUCUACCAAAUUAACUGCCAUCCUCUAAGACUUGCCUUGGAGGCUGUCCUCCCCCUAGUCCCCAGGGAAGCUGCUGGUACAGACCUGGGCUGGCCACACCGUUUCCCCGGGUUGGCACAGCCUGUUCAGGGUACAGAGCCCCAGAAAGAGGCAUUUGACCCCAGAUAUUGGCCCAUUGUUCCUGCUGGCCUCCGUGCUCUCUCAGGCACCUGCUAGGCCCAGCCAGCCUUUUGGACCUCAUCUACUUUUCCCUUACUCCUGCCUGCCCUGCUCCCUGGCCCAGUGCCCUACUCACGCCUCUCUUAAAAACCUCUCCAUAGCCUGUCUCUGUACAUUUGUUAUACCAUUCCUUCCACCCAAAGUUCUUUAAUUUACCCCUCACAGUGCCCCCUGCCCCAGCCCCCCAGCCCAUCUGAGUGGCACUUCCUCAACCAAGGGAGCAUGGAUGGAGCACGCUCAUAUGGUAGGGGAUCUGGGCCAGCUGUUUACCACGGGACCCAAGCUGCUGGCCGUGUCUUUAGAUUUUUCCUCUUGGGCUGCUCAGACUCCCCAGAGAGAAAUCUUCCAGGCUCUUGCCUGGAGGGUGGGGUCAGGCUGCGUGUGUGUUUAAGCCCCAAGUGGCAAGAAGGGCCGGGAGUCCUUAAGUUUAAAAAUCAAUGACAUCAGUCCUUAAUCCUUCUGUUUUCCAUGCUGUACCCCGCACUUAGAGGCCCCCAUCCCGAGACCCACUCUUACCCUCUCAGGGGAGGAAAACUGCAGACUUCUGCUGGGGCAAGACAGGGGCAGGCACCCAGCCGGAAGGAGUCGGAGCCUGCCUCAAGGGACAUAGAGACUGCUUCCCAAGGGCAAACACUGCUUGCAGUGUGUUCAAAGUAAUUUACAUAUAUAAGCAUAUAUUUACAUAUUCACAUAUUUAAGUUUACCCCUCAAACCACACUUCUCCCAGCUCUCUGCACUUAACCCCACCCAUCUGAGUCUGACUGUCUGACGCCCUGACCUCUGGUCCUAAGCUCCUGGGGCUCCCACUUUCUCCUUUUGAGGAGCCUGUGGUAUGAAAUGUUCAUCCUAGCUUUCUCCAAGUCAGGCUUGGAAUCGGGCUCAAAAGUCUGCCUGGUCCGUUAUUCCACAUCUGUUUGCUUUCCUACUUCCAAAAUGUUAGUGCCGCUGUCUCCUCAUAAAAUCCUUUCCUGAGAAACAUCACUGCAUGUACAUUCAUGGGCUAACUGAUGUUGAUGCAUCUGGAGAGAGCUGUCCACCCACCUGACCCGCCACAGCCAACUCGGCACCCUGACUUCGAGACCCUCCCAGACUUUUCCCUAUGGGCCUCUUCAUUUGGCUGGUCCUGAUCUAUAACCCUUACAAUAAAACCAAAGUUGUAAGUCUA